GAGGUACUUGGAGCCUCUUUUUUGUACUACCUCUUGUUGAACCUGAGGGACUGAUUCUUCAAUUGAGGUACUUGGAGCCUCAUUUUGUUCUGCCUCUUCUAUAUGGAAAUUAACCACAUCAUUGAUCACCCAAUCAAUUUUAGUUGCGUCCAUGUUUGUGAUGUCCACAUUUCUUUCUUCACUUUCAAUAUUUAGAUAUGCAAAGUGAUGUGCAACAUCUUGGUCAUCUUGGACUUUCUCGUUCGGAACUUGAGUGCUAAAGAUACUAUGACUAUCACCUAGUAUGUCAAAGUGAUAUUCAUUUGCAUUU
rnacentral:lncRNA from 1 species